rnacentral:rRNA from 1 species
GAUGAACGCUGGCGGCGUGCCUAAUACAUGCAAGUCGAGCGAACAGACGAGGAGCUUGCUCCUCUGACGUUAGCGGCGGACGGGUGAGUAACACGUGGAUAACCUACCUAUAAGACUGGGAUAACUUCGGGAAACCGGAGCUAAUACCGGAUAAUAUAUUGAACCGCAUGGUUCAAUAGUGAAAGACGGUUUUGCUGUCACUUAUAGCUGGCUCCGCGCCGCAUUAGCUAGUUGGUAAGGUAACGGCUUACCAAGGCAACGAUGCGUAGCCGACCUGAGAGGGUGAUCGGCCACACUGGAACUGAGACACGGUCCAGACUCCGACGGGAGGCAGCAGUAGGGAAUCUUCCGCAAUGGGCGAGAGCCUGACGGAGCAACGCCGCGUGAGUGAUGAAGGUCUUCGGAUCGUAAAACUCUGUUAUUAGGGAAGAACAAAUGUGUAAGUAACUAUGCACGUCUUGACGGUACCUAAUCAGAAAGCCACGGCUAACUACGUG